rnacentral:tRNA from 1 species
CCAAAGUGCAAAUUUGGAGUAGCACCCAAAUAGGGUGCCGGAGCUUCUCCCGUUU